GUGCUCACUUCAGCAGCACAUAUACAAAAAUUGGAAUGAUACAGAGAUUAACAAGGUCCCUGUGAAAAGAUGACAUGCAAAUUUGUGAAGCAUUCCAUAUUUUU